rfam:Camelus ferus unplaced genomic scaffold scaffold142, whole genome shotgun sequence.
GAGGGUAUAGCUCAAAUGGUAGAGUGCAUGCUUAGCAUGCACGAGGUUCUGAGUUCAAUCCCCAGCACUUCCU